CUUCCGGACGCGGGCUCGCGCCUCCCGGGCGCACCUCGGGGCCCGCGGGCCGAGUGUCGCUAGGACGUUUUCCGCAGGCCUAGCAGGCGGACCCCGCGGCUCGGAGCAAGCGGUGCAGGGGCAGGAGCGAUUCCCAUUCGAGGAGUUUGACCUCUCAUUUUAAUACAACACCCGCCUCUUAGAGGCAGCAGACCAGUCCAGCCAGGUCAAGGUGUGGACCGCACAACGGGGUGCACAGGAUUAGUUAAGCAAAGCAGGAACCCAGCUGGAAAAUUAAACGAGCCCUGGAUCUGCAAAGCAGGUCCCUUCGCGAGACCAAAGCCGUGAUCCCAACCUUAGCAACAUAAUUCUACUGGAGGUGUUGAUAUAUAUACUAAUCCAGAACAACCAUGUAGCAAGAGGAAUAAAAUGAAGUUCAGAAGUCUGUUUCGGGAAAUUUUGAAGCCCUUUAGAAAGAAAGAUUUCUACAUUUUGUUACAUGAAAUUCAUGCAAAUAUAUGUCAGGUGCCAGUGCUAUGGAGUUGUUGAAGAAUAAGCACAAUACCAUUUAUUACCACUUCUCAGUUGUAAAGAGGCUGUAACUCUGGUUGUCGAAAUAAAAUAAAAUGAAAUCUCCUAGAUGUGACACUGUGACCCCUGCCAGUUAUUUACAAACAAGUUAUCUGCACAUUUUGGGCUGUAAACAU
rnacentral:lncRNA from 1 species